rnacentral:rRNA from 1 species
UUAGAUCGUACCCAAGUUACUUGGAUAACUGUGGUAAUUCUAGAGCUAAUACAUGCCGACAGAGUUCCGACCGUCGCGGCGCCCCCGGGCGUCGCGUGCGGGAGGAACGCUUUUAUUAGAUCAAAACCGGCCCGUCGCGGCGCGCGCCUCGCGCGCGCGUCCCGAUCGCGGCCCGCGCAAAGACCUGGUGACUCUGAAUAACUUCGAGCUGAUCGCACGGUCUCCGUACCGGCGACGCAUCUUUCAAAUGUCUGCCUUAUCAACUGUCGACGGUAGGUUCCAUGCCUACCGUGGUGGUAACGGGUAACGGGGAAUCAGGGUUCGAUUCCGGAGAGGGAGCCUGAGAAACGGCUACCACAUCCAAGGAAGGCAGCAGGCGCGCAAAUUACCCACUCCCGGAACGGGGAGGUAGUGACGAAAAAUAACGAUACGGGACUCAUCCGAGGCCCCGUAAUCGGAAUGAGGACACUUUAAAACCUUUAAACGAGGAUCAAUUGGAGGGCAAGUCUGGUGCCAGCAGCCGCGGUAAUUCCAGCUCCA